rnacentral:tRNA from 1 species
GCCUGGGUGGCUCAGCCGGUUGAGCGUCUGACUUCAGUUCAGGUCAUGAUCUCCCAGUCUGUGAGUUCGAGCCCCAUGCCUGUGCU